UACGUAGGGUGCGAGCGUUGUCCGGAAUCACUGGGCGUAAAGGGCGCGUAGGUGGCGGGCCAAGUCCAUGGUGAAAGCUCGAUGCUCAACAUCGAGUCGGCCACGGAUACUGGUGCGCUGGAGCACUGUAGAGGCUAAUGGAAUUCCGGGUGUAGCGGUGGAAUGCGUAGAGAUCCGGAAGAACACCGGUGGCGAAGGCGGUUAGCUGGGCAGUUGCUGACACUGGAGGCGCGACAGCGUGGGGAGCAAACAGG
rnacentral:rRNA from 1 species